GGGAAGGUGGCUCAGUGGUAGAGCGCCUGCCUUGCAUGCAUGAGGCCCUGGGUUCGAUUCCUCAGCACCCCA
rnacentral:tRNA from 1 species